GAAACAAACAAAAAGGUAGAAGGUGCAUGUGUAACAAAAACCCCUUGUUAAACCCACAGAAAAUAGAGAGUGCAGUGUGUGUGUGAAAGGUGAGUUGGAGUUAGAAAAUCCUCAUUAAUCCAAAGUUUCUCACUCAAAACAAUUAGGUUUUAUGUCAUCAGGGCCAUGGCAUUGCUCCUGCAUUUUCUCCCAAUCUCUUUUUUUCUUCCUUUAAGGCCGAAUAGAGAAGUAGGAUUAAAUCUUGCUUCAGAAGUUUUGAGGUGUUCAGCUGCAAAACCUGGUUGAAUUUGCUGGUCCUUUUGCUUUCCUGGAACAUGUGAACCUUGAACAUGUAAGUACAUUGUACUUAAGUGGGGAAUGAAGCCAUUGGUCCGCAAAGCAUAUCAAUCUUAGUAAUAUGUUGACAAAACCUGUUGUGGGAUUCAUUUAGAAGAAGAUUUAUUCCAUUUUAUUUUUGUUGUGAA